rnacentral:misc_RNA from 1 species
GAUGAAGAACGUAGCGAAAUGCGAUAAGUAAUGUGAAUUGCAGAAUUCAGUGAAUCAUCGAAUCUUUGAACGCACAUUGCGCCCGUCAGUAUUCUGGCGGGCAUGCCUGUUCGAGCGUCAUUACGCCCCUCAAGUCCCCUGUGGACUUGGUGUUGGGGAUCGGCGAGGCUGGUUUUCCAGCACAGCCGUCCCUUAAAUUAAUUGGCGGUCUCGCCGUGGCCCUCCUCUGCGCAGUAGUAAAACACUCGCAACAGGAGCCCGGCGCGGUCCACUGCCGUAAAACCCCCCAACUUUUUAUAGUUGACCUCGAAUCAGGUAGGACUACCCGCUGAACUUAAGCAUACAAUAAGCGGAGAA